rnacentral:rRNA from 1 species
UACGGAGGGGACUAGCGUUGUUCGGAAUUACUGGGCGUAAAGCGCACGUAGGCGGAUUUGUAAGUCAGGGGUGAAAUCCCGGGCUCAACCUCGGAACUGCCUUUGAUACUGCAAAUCUCGAGUCCGGAAGAGGUGAGUGGAAUUCCUAGUGUAGAGGUGAAAUUCGUAGAUAUUGGGAAGAACACCAGUGGCGAAGGCGGCUAACUGGUCCGGUACUGACGCUGAGGUGCGAAAGCGUGGGGAGCAAACAGG